rnacentral:rRNA from 1 species
UACGAAGGGGGCUGGCGUUGUUCGGAAUUACUGGGCGUAAAGGGCGCGUAGGCGGCCCGAUCAGUCAGAUGUGAAAGCCCCGGGCUCAACCUGGGAACUGCAUUUGAUACUGUCGGGCUUGAGUUCCGGAGAGGAUGGUGGAAUUCCCAGUGUAGAGGUGAAAUUCGUAGAUAUUGGGAAGAACACCCGUGGCGAAGGCGGCUCUCUGGGACGGUACUGACGCUGAGACGCGAAAGCGUGGGGAGCGAACAGG